rnacentral:rRNA from 1 species
UCGUANCAAGGUUUCCGUAGGUGAACCUGCGGAAGGAUCAUUG